rnacentral:rRNA from 1 species
UACAGAGGUGGCAAGCGUUGUUCGGAAUUACUGGGCGUAAAGGGCGCGUAGGCGGCCUUCUCAGUCAGACGUGAAAUCCCCAGGCUUAACUUGGGAACUGCGUCUGAUACUGGAAGGCUUGAGUGCGGGAGAGGGAUGUGGAAUUCCAGGUGUAGCGGUGAAAUGCGUAGAUAUCUGGAGGAACACCGGUGGCGAAGGCGGCAUCCUGGACCGACACUGACGCUGAGGCGCGAAAGCUAGGGGAGCAAACGGGG